rnacentral:rRNA from 1 species
UAAACCGGAGGAAGGUGGGGAUGACGUCAAGUCCUCAUGGCCCUUAUGACCAGGGCUACACACGUGCUACAAUGGCCGGUACAAAGAGUUGCGAUACCGUGAGGUGGAGCCAAUCUCAUAAAGCCGGUCUCAGUUCGGAUUGGAGUCUGCAACUCGACUCCAUGAAGUUGGAAUCGCUAGUAAUCGCGGAUCAGCAUGCCGCGGUGAAUACGUUCCCGGGCCUU